UUUGCGAGUCAUUAAUUGCUGCGGCUGAAUUGCAACGGUAGCUCAAUAAAAUCAAAUUUAGUUUUUCACAUCUCCCAGGCAGUGAAUCUAGAGCUACGGGUUAUGAAACCGCAUGAAAUCUUUUGCAAUUAGAACAGAGUGAUCUUUAUUAAGUGGCCUGCGCUAUGCAAAGCACCACCAGCGCUGUUCACAGGUCUCUGAUUUACUGCACUUCAUUUAUCGAAGUGUGUACAUCAGAGCAGAGGUAAUUUCCCAUAAUGCGAGCAGGGUGUGAGUACAAUGAAGCCUAGAUGGUAAAUAAUUGCAACCUUUUUGAGAUGCUUUUGUGCGGUGACGUUUUAUUGAUGUUUCUUCAUCAUCACUCUCAGCUGAGUACAAGAAAAAUAAAACAGGCGCCCGAAUGCCUAGGAAACCAUUUCAGAAAGAUGAUCCGAACAUUUCCGCCUUCCGUGAAUUUGACAGAGUGGUGAAUGUGUGAGGGAUUGCUGCUUCCAAAGGGGAGGCAUCGUAGUAAAUGAUGCAAAUUGGCAGGAUUACAGAAUGUAAUGAAUCCAAAGAAGAUUUCAAAAUAUAAUUGGAAAGGGUGUCAAAGAAAAAAAAAAUGGUUAGUCUGUUUUAUCUGUUAGUGGGACUUGAGCUUACAUCCUAUUAAGAAUUUUAGCCGUGCCAGAGAAAAAGAAAGAUGAAAUGUAGCGCCGACACUCAUGAGCACUAUUACUGAACAAUAACCUGCGUGUAGGGGGAUUGCAGAAGAGUUGUCACGGGUUCUUCAUUGUUCUUUAACUCCUAAGGGAAGAGAAAAUCUGUGUCUUAGAAAUUUUUUCCCUGCAUUUUGACUUCUGCAUUUCCUUAUGCUAAUCAGACUUGGGUGAGGUGAAGUAUGCUUAUGGAGAGUGAAUUAAGUGCUUCGAGCCGCUGCGUCUCUCGCCUGCAGGAAGCAGUGCUAACGAGCAGUGCCAUGCGGCCUGGCAGCGAAGGGGUGGCACGGCCUGCAGCCCCUGCCCCACUGCUCCCAUCCCCACGGACACAAAGUGCCCCUUCCUUCUGCAGUCGUCCUUCUUGCAUCACCAGAAAAAGUGCACAGUCAUUCCCUCUUCUCCUUCCUCUUCCCAGCACCCAGCCUACAACUCCACUAGAAAACCUGUCUGGAAAACAGAUGGUGCCAUCCGGGAAUGUGAAUAAAGACGUGGGGAGCCCCCAGGCUCAAGCUCUCAGAAGCAGACAACAAGCACAGCCUCUGUGUGCAGGAGGGGAGGACCUGCGCCCUGAGAGCGCACCAACGAUGUCACCAUGUCACUGCAAGCAGGGCGAGCAACAAGGGACAGGAACGCUGCCCGCAGACCUGAGGCUGCUGCUGUGUGGGAGCUGUGCCAGGCAUGCUAUGGGCACCAGGAAAACCCAGGAGCUCCGUGCCAGCCUGGUGCGGGCUGCCCUGGGGCAGCUGUGUGCUCUGCUGCGGGCUGCCCCUCGAGCUGCUUGGCUGCUGUGCGCUGUGCAGGGCUGCACGGGCUGCUCGGCUGCAGCUCAGGGCUGCGGUGGCAGAGAGGCAAAUCGCAGCGCCCAGCUGCAUGCAUUUCUUGUAAAUGCAAAUGCUCAGUCUGCCUUAAAAAUCCAGAGUGUCACUGAUUCAUUAUACCGUGGCCGUGGCAUUUGCAGCUCGCCCUGCUUCCAAGCGUUCCGUCGUGCUGAUGCGUCCCGUGGGAGCUCCGCUGCCCGGCGGUGCGCUGGGAGCCCCGAUGGCUGCGGGCUGCUGCACCUGCGCUGGGAGGAUUUGUUCCUUCUGGAGAGAGCGCGCAUCGAGACAGGGAGGGGGCAGCGCUCCCGUUGUGAAUACAAUGAGUCCUGCAAACAGCUCAUAAAUCAAGAGUCACUUGGAGAGGGAGGCACUGCAUCUCCUCUUCCCCCUGGGCUGCCAGCUGAGGCUUACACGAACGUGCUGCCAGGAAGAGGCUUUUUCUUUUUUCCUUUUUUUCUUUUUCUUUUCCUUUUUUUCCUUUUCUUUUAAUUUUUCUUCUUUUUCUUCUUUUCUUCUCCUACUUUUUCUUUUUCUUUCUUUUUUUUCUUUUUCUUUUUUCCAAAUGGCCAACCUCUUGCACUUAGCACAAACACAUUUCUAUGGAUAAGGGGAAUGAGGAUAAAAGAGGAGAGAUCUAGGUUAGAUGUGAGAAGGCAAUUCUUCAUCCAGAGGUGGUGAGGCCCUGGCACUGCUGCCCAGAGCUGUGGGUGCCCCAUCCCUUGGGGGUACCUGAGGCCAUGGAUGGGCCCUAGGCAACCAGAGCUGGGGGGACACCCAGACCUCAGCAGGGGCUGGCACUGCUUGAUCCUUAAGGUCACAUCAAACUUAAGUCAUUCUAUGAU
rnacentral:lncRNA from 1 species